GCAGAAGGUCUUGAUGGUAAGGUAUGUCUUUUUGCUGAUGAUAAUAAGAUAUGUAACAGGGUUGAUGUUCCAGGAGGGAUAAGCCAAAUGGCAAAUGAUUUAGGUAAACUAGAAAAAUGGUCAGAGUUGUGGCAACUGACAUUUAAUGUGGAUAAGUGCAAGAUAAUGCAUAUUGGACAUAAAAACCCAAGGGCAGGGUACAGAAUAUUUGAUAGAG